rnacentral:rRNA from 1 species
AUUGAACGCUGGCGGCAUGCCUUACACAUGCAAGUCGAACGGCAGCGGGGACUUCGGUCCGCCGGCGAGUGGCGAACGGGUGAGUAAUGUAUCGGAACGUACCAUUGAGUGGGGGAUGACUAUCCGAAAGGAUAGCUAAUACCGCAUAUUCUCUCCGGAGGAAAGCAGGGGACCGCAAGGCCUUGCGCUCAUUGAGCGGCCGAUAUCAGAUUAGCUAGUUGGUGAGGUAAAGGCUCACCAAGGCGACGAUCUGUAGCGGGUCUGAGAGGAUGAUCCGCCACACUGGAACUGAGACACGGUCCAGACUCCUACGGGAGGCAGCAGUGGGGAAUUUUGGACAAUGGGGGCAACCCUGAUCUAGCCAUGCCGCGUGAGUGAAGAAGGCCUUCGGGUUGUAAAGCUCUUUCGGCCGGGAAAAAAUCGCAUGGGUUAAUACCCUGUGUGGAUGAUGGUACCGGAAUAAGAAGCACCGGCUAACUACGUGCUAGCCGCCGCGGUAAUAC